rnacentral:rRNA from 1 species
UAGCAUAUCAAUAAGCGGAGGAAAAGAAACCAACAGGGAUUGCCUUAGUAACGGCGAGUGAAGCGGCAACAGCUCAAAUUUGAAAUCUGGCUCCUUCGGGGUCCGAGUUGUAAUUUGCAGAGGAUGCUUCGAGUUAUGGUUCCUUCCGAGUUCCCUGGAACGGGACGCCAUAGAGGGUGAGAGCCCCGUCUGGUAGGAAACCAUGCUCAUGUGAAGCUCCCUCGACGAGUCGAGUAGUUUGGGAAUGCUGCUCUAAGGGGAGGUAUACUCCUUCCAAGGCUAAAUACCGGCUAGAGACCGAUAGCGCACAAGUAGAGUGAUCGAAAGAUGAAAAGUACUUUGAAAAGAGAGUCAAACAGCACGUGAAAUUGUUAAAAGGGAAGCGCUCGCUACCAGACGUGGGUUCGGUGGUUCAACCAGGUCCAUGACCUGGGGCACUCCGCCGGCCCAGGCCAGCAUCAGCUUUCCGUCGGGGGCAAAGGCGUCGGGAAUGUGGCUCUCCUUCGGGGGAGUGUUAUAGCCCGUCGCGUCAUACCCUUCGGGGGGCUGAGGUACGCGCUCCGCAAGGAUGCUGGCGUAAUGGUAGCUAGUGACCCGUCUUGAAACACGGACCAAGGAGUCAACCUUAUGUGCGAGUGCCCGGGCGUAAAACCCCAGCGCGGAAUGAAAGUGAACGUAGGUGAGAGCUUCGGCGCAUCACCGACCGAUCCUGAUGUCCUCGGACGGAUUUGAGUGAGAGCAUAUAGGGUUGGACCCGAAAGAAGAUGAACUAUGCGUGUGUAGGGUGAAGCCAGAGGAAACUCUGGUGGAGGCUCGCAGCGGUUCUGACGUGCAAAUCGAUCGUCAAACAUGCGCAUGGGGGCGAAAGACUAAUCGAAUCUUCUGGUAGCUGGUUUCCGCCGA